UGAGUAACACGUAUGCAACCUGCCUGUAAGCGGGGAAUAACCCGUUGAAAGACGGACUAAUACCGCAUAAUACUAAAUUACUGCAUGGUAAUUAUUUAAACAUUUAUGGCUUACAGAUGGGCAUGCGCAUGAUUAGCUAGUUGGAGAGGUAACGGCUCCCCAAGGCAACGAUCAUUAGGGGUUCUGAGAGGAAGGUCCCCCACACUGGUACUGAGACACGGACCAGACUCCUACGGGAGGCAGCAGUGAGGAAUAUUGGUCAAUGGACGAGAGUCUGAACCAGCCAAGCCGCGUGCAGGAAGAAUGUCCCUAUGGAUUGUAAACUGCUUUUGCAGGGGAAUAAAGUGCAUCACGUGUGAUGUUUUGUAUGUACUCUGCGAAUAAGGAUCGGCUAACUCCGUGCCAGCCGCCGC
rnacentral:rRNA from 1 species